UAGGGAAUAUUGCACAAUGGAGGAAACUCUGAUGCAGCGACGCCGCGUGAGUGAUGAAGGACUUCGGUUCGUAAAGCUCUGUCGUAUGGGAAUAAGAAAGUGAAUGUACCAUGCAAGAAAGGAUCGGCUAACUUCGUGCCAGCAGCCGCGGUAAGACGAGGGAUCCUAGCGUUGUUCGGAAUCAUUGGGCGUAAAGCGGAUGUAGGUGGCUUUGUAAGUCGGGUGUGAAAGCCCAGGGCUCAACCCUGGAAGUGCAUUCGAUACUGCGAAGCUUGAGUGCUGGAGAGGUUACUAGAAUACCUGGUGUAGUGGUGAAAUACGUAGAUAUCAGGUGGAAUACCGGAGGCGAAGGCGGGUAACCAGCCAGACACUGACACUCAGAUCCGAAAGUGUGGGGAUCAAACAGG
rnacentral:rRNA from 1 species